rnacentral:sRNA from 1 species
CAAUCACUGGUUCAUCACGCCGCGUAUCCGGCUGGUAACGAAAUACCGUCCUGCUCAGCGAUAAAUCCUGCAGGCCCGGCGUAUGCUCAUCGCGAAUUGUGCGGUCAGAUAGCUGAUAAGCUCACGUUUUAUCUCUGGUUUU